UAUUAUGAGAGUUUGAUCCUGGCUCAGGAUGAACGCUGGCGGCGUGCCUAAUACAUGCAAGUCGAAUGCCACACCUCUUAGCUUUUGUGCAUAAUGAUGAAAAUGCAUUAUGUCUACCUGCUAAAGAGUAAAAAGAAUGGCCGAUUGUAUACCGGAUUUACCGAUGACUUGAAACAGCGUCUUCAAGAUCAUAACACGGGUAAAUCGCCGUAUACGAAAAACAAUCGGCCGUAUGUGCUCAUCUACUACGAAGCGUAUGCUUCUAGAUUUGAUGCACAAAAGCGGGAACGAAGCCUCAAGCUUCGUUCGAACGCGUCUCUCCAAUUACGACGACGAAUCAAAUUGUCGAUCGACGAAGGUUGAGAGGUGUGGCAUGGCGAACGGGUGAGUAAUGCACAAGAACGUGCUCCGAAGUUGGGGAUAACCCCUCGAAAGAGGGAAUAACACUCAAUGGUCCCAGCGCAUCUCAUUGCACUCGAUGCGAAUUACCAAUUAUCAAUUUGCAAUUUUCAAUAAAUGUUCAAUGAAUUAAUUUUCAAACAUUGAAACAUUGGAAAUUCAAUGAAAAUUGAAAACUGGAAAUUUAGAAUUCAUCGAGCGUAGCGAGAUGUGCUGGGUAAAAAUUUAUUGCUUCGGAAGCGGCUUGUGUCCUAUCAGCUAGUUGGUGAGGUAAUGGCUUACCAAGGCGAUGACGGGUAGCUGGUCUGAGAGGACGAUCAGCCACAGUGGAACUGAGAUACGGUCCACACUCCUACGGGAGGCAGCAGUAGGGAAUUGUCGGCAAUGGGCGAAAGCCUGACCGCGCGACGCCGCGUGUAGGAAGAAGGCCUUCGGGUUGUAAACUACUUUUGUGAGGGACAAUUAUGAUGGUACCUCAAGAAUAAGGGGCUGCUAACUACGUGCCAGCAGCAGCGGUAAUACGUAGGCCCCAAGCGUUAUCCGGAAUUAUUGGGCGUAAAGAGCGCGUAGGCGUCUUUAUAAGUCGGUCGUUAAAUCUCACUGCCUAACAGUGAGACCGCGAGCGAUACUAUAAGGAUUGAGUUUUGCAGGGGCUAGCAGAAUUUCUGGAGUAGAGGUGAAAUUCGUUGAUACCAGAAGGAAUACCAAUGGCGAAGGCAGCUAGCUGGGCAAUAACUGACGCUGAGAGCGCGAAAGCGUGGGGAGCGAACGGGAUUAGAUACCCCGGUAGUCCACGCCGUAAACGAUGUCUACUAGCAAUAGGGAGAGUCGACCCUUUCUGUUGCGAAGCUAACGCGUCAAGUAGACCGCCUGGGAAGUACGAUCGCAAGAUUAAAACUCAAAGGAAUUGGCGGGGGCUCGCACAAGUGGUGGAGCAUGUGGUUUAAUUCGACACUAACCGAGAAACCUUAUCCCAGAUUUGACAUGUAUGGAAUCCCCAAGAAACUGGGGAGUGCCGCAAGGAGCCAUAACACAGGUAUUGCACGGUCGUCGUCAGUUCGUGGCGUGAGCUGUGAGGUUAAGUCCUUAAACGAACGAAACCCUUGUCCUAUGUUGGAUUUUCAUAGGAGACUGCCCUGGUAACAGGGAGGAAGGUGGGGAUGACGUCAGAUCCGCGUGGUCUUUAUGUCUGGGGCUACACACGUGCUACAAUCCGACGGACAAUGGGCUGCCAAGCCGCGAGGCGGAGCUAAUCCCAUCAAAACGUCGGUCAGUUCGGAUUGGAGUCUGCAACUCGACUCCAUGAAGUUGGAAUCACUAGUAAUCGUGAAUCAGCAAGUCACGGUGAAUACGUUCUCGAGCCUUGCACACACCGCCCGUCAAGUUGGCCGAGUCGGUAACACCAGAAGCGUUGGAAUUUUCCGGCGUAAAGGUGGGAUCGGUGAGGAAAGCUAAGUCGUAACAAGGUAUCCGUAGGGGAAUCUGCGGAUGGAUCACCUCCUUU
rfam:Candidatus Berkelbacteria bacterium RIFCSPLOWO2_01_FTLL_50_28 rifcsplowo2_01_scaffold_16, whole genome shotgun sequence.